rnacentral:rRNA from 1 species
CGGACGGGUGAGUAACGCGUGGGUAACCUGCCCUGUACAGGGGGAUAACAGCUGGAAACGGCUGCUAAUACCGCAUAAGCGCACGAGGAGACAUCUCCUUGUGUGAAAAACUCCGGUGGUACAGGAUGGGCCCGCGUCUGAUUAGCUGGUUGGCAGGGUAACGGCCUACCAAGGCAACGACCAGUAGCCGGUCUGAGAGGAUGAACGGCCACAUUGGAACUGAGACACGGUCCAA